ACCAUUUUACCCCUAUGUCUUGAAAAUGCCUAAGUUAUGAGAAUACGGGCAUUUUAGUAAUUUGCCACAUGGGUGUUUGGUGGCUGUCUUAGGUGUUGACACCUAGCAUAAGAUUACUUCAGCCAAGGUUAAGGUAUUAACAUUUAUUUCACUUAGAGAAAUUAGAAUAAAAGUCAAAGAAAAGCCAAAAAUAGAAUUUCUCUCUUUCCCUUCUCUUUCCCUAUUCGAACUAGCUUGGAACCAGAGAAUUGCUGCUGGUUUUUGGGUGUUUUCAGUAGGGAUUAGAGGAUCUCUUAACCAAGGUCAUCCAUUUCGCACAAGACAUUAUGUUCCAUUUGGCCAGCACACUUGAAUCUGGAAGGAAGGUAAAGGAAAGGCGGAAGCUGAACAGGAGUGAGCCUGGCUAGGAUGGGAUUGUUGGGUUUUGUGCCCUAAAUAAAACCCAUUUCAAUAUAAUCAGAUUUACUUAUUAAUAAAGAUCAGAAAUAACAUUUUAUGUUGCAUGGUUCACAUGAUUUAUUUCAUGAUUAUAUAUAUAAUGUAUGAAUUCUAUUUAAGUCCAGAACAU